GACGAACGCUGGCGGCGUGGAUUAGGCAUGCAAGUCGAACGGUAGGAUACCUUCGGGUAUCUGAGAGUGGCGAACGGGUGAGUAACACGUAGGUGAUCUACCCUCAAGAUUGGGACAACCCAGGGAAACUUGGGCUAAUACCGGAUGAAAGCAGCAGUGAUGUUGUUUGAAAGGUGGCGUAAGCUGCCGUUUGGGGAUGAGCCUGCGCUCUAUUAGUUAGUUGGCGGGGUAAAGGCCCACCAAGGCGAUGAUAGAUAGGCGGCCUUAACGGGUGGUCGCCCACACUGGGAUUGAGAUACGGCCCAGACUCCUACGGGAGGCAGCAGUCGAGAAUAGUCUACAAUGGCCGAAAGGCUGAUAGUGCGACGCCGCGUGAACGAAGAAGCCCGUUCGGGGUGUAAAGUUCUUUUAUAUGUGAGCAGUGCUUUCUAUGUGAACAGCAUGGGGAGAGAGAUAUUAGCAUAUGAAUAAGCAACGGCUAACUCCGUG
rnacentral:rRNA from 1 species